rnacentral:miRNA from 1 species
AGGUACUAGGGCUACUGGCAUG